CCUACGGGUGGCUGCAGUGGGGAAUAUUGGACAAUGGGGGGAACCCUGAUCCAGCCAUGCCGCGUGUGUGAAGAAGGCCCUCGGGUUGUAAAGCACUUUCAGUGAGGAAGAACGCCUGGUGGAUGAUACCGAUCAGGAAAGACAUCACUCACAGAAGAAGCACCGGCUAACUCCGUGCCAGCAGCCGCGGUAAUACGGAGGGUGCGAGCGUUAAUCGGAAUUACUGGGCGUAAAGCGCGGCGUAGGUGGCUUGAUAAGCCGGUUGUGAAAGCCCCGGGCUCAACCUGGGAACGGCAUCCGGAACUGUCAAGCUAGAGUGCAGGAGAGGAAGGUAGAAUUCCCGGUGUAGCGGUGAAAUGCGUAGAGAUCGGGAGGAAUACCAGUGGCGAAGGCGGCCUUCUGGACUGACACUGACACUGAGGUGCGAAAGCGUGGGUAGCAAACAGGAUUAGAUACCCCAGUAGUC
rnacentral:rRNA from 1 species